rnacentral:rRNA from 1 species
AAUGAACGCUGGCGGCAGGCCUAACACAUGCAAGUCGAGCGAACAAAGGAGGAGCUUGCUCGUCUGAAGCUGGGGGCGGCUGGGUGAGUCACACGUGGAUAACCUGCAUAUAAGAAUGGGGUACCAUAAGGAGAGCUGAGACAACAAACGAUCACAUGUUGAACCGGAGGGAUCAUCAGUGCACGACGGUCUUGCUGAUACUAAACGAAAGUUCCGGGCCGGAUUAGCUAGUUGGUACGGUAACGGCUUACCAAGGCAACGCUGCGUAGCCGACCUGAGAGGAUGAUCAGCCACACUGGAACUGAGACACGGUCCAGACUCCUACGGGAGGCAGCAGUGGGGAAUCUUCGGCAAUGGGCGAAAGCCUGAUGAAGCAACGCCGCGUGAGUGAAGAAGGUCUUCGGAUCGUAAAACACUGUUAGUAGGGAAGAACAGAUGUCUAUUUAACUAUGCACGUCUUGACGGUACCUAAUGAGAAAGCCACGGCUAACUACGUG